CCUACGGGGGGCUGCAGUGGGGAAUAUUGCACAAUGGGCGCAAGCCUGAUGCAGCCAUGCCGCGUGUGUGAAGAAGGCCUUCGGGUUGUAAAGCACUUUCAGCGGGGAGGAAGGCGGUGAGGUUAAUAACCUCAUCGAUUGACGUUACCCGCAGAAGAAGCACCGGCUAACUCCGUGCAGCAGCCGCGGUAAUACGGAGGGUGCAAGCGUUAAUCGGAAUUACUGGGCGUAAAGCGCACGCAGGCGGUCUGUCAAGUCGGAUGUGAAAUCCCCGGGCUCAACCUGGGAACUGCAUUCGAAACUGGCAGGCUAGAGUCUUGUAGAGGGGGGUAGAAUUCCAGGUGUAGCGGUGAAAUGCGUAGAGAUCUGGAGGAAUACCGGUGGCGAAGGCGGCCCCCUGGACAAAGACUGACGCUCAGGUGCGAAAGCGUGGGGAGCAAACAGGAUUAGAUACCCCUGUAGUC
rnacentral:rRNA from 1 species